rnacentral:hammerhead_ribozyme from 1 species
AUCCAGCUGACGAGUCCUAAAUAGGACGAAACACGUGUCUUGAU